AUUGAACGCUGGCGGCAUGCUUUACACAUGCAAGUCGAACGGCAGCGCGGGCUUCGGCCUGGCGGCGAGUGGCGAACGGGUGAGUAAUACAUCGGAACGUGCCCAGUAGUGGGGGAUAGCUCGGCGAAAGCCGGAUUAAUACCGCAUACGACCUGAGGGUGAAAGCGGGGGAUCUUCGGACCUCGCGCUAUUGGAGCGGCCGAUGGCGGAUUAGCUAGUUGGUGGGGUAAAGGCCUACCAAGGCGACGAUCUGUAGCUGGUCUGAGAGGACGACCGGCCACACUGGGACUGAGACACGGCCAAGACUCCUGAGGGAGGCAGCAGUGGGGAAUUUUGGACAAUGGGCGAAAGCCUGAUCCAGCAAUGCCGCGUGUGUGAUGAAGGCCUUCGGGUUGUAAAGCACUUUUGGCGGGAACGAAAAGGACUGUGCCAAUACCACGGUUCGAUGACGGUACCCGCAGAAUAAGCACCGGCUAACUACGUG
rnacentral:rRNA from 1 species